rnacentral:miRNA from 2 species
UGACUAGACUGUUACUCGGCGU